UGCGUAGGUGGCGCCGUAAGUCGGGUGUGAAAUUUCGGAGCUUAACUCCGAAACUGCAUUCGAUACUGCGGUGCUUGAGGACUGGAGAGGAGACUGGAAUUCAUGGUGUAGCAGUGAAAUGCGUAGAGACCAUGAGGAAGACCAGUGGCGAAGGCGGGUCUCUGGACAGUUCCUGACACUGAGGCACCAAGGGGCCAGGGGAAGGCAAACG
rnacentral:rRNA from 1 species